AGCAGUAGCCACGGUAAUACGAAGGGGGCUAGCGUUGUUCGGAAUCACUGGGCGUAAAGCGCACGUAGGCGGAUUUUUAAGUCAGGGGUGAAAUCCCGAGGCUCAACCUCGGAACUGCCUUUGAUACUGGAGAUCUUGAGUUCGGAAGAGGUUGGUGGAACAGCUAGUGUAGAGGUGAAAUUCGUAGAUAUUAGCUAGAACACCAGUGGCGAAGGCGGCCAACUGGUCCGACACUGACGCUGAGGUGCGAAAGCGUGGGGAGCAAACAGGAUUAGAUACCCGUGUAGUCCCUGUCUCUUAUAC
rnacentral:rRNA from 1 species